GCUGGGCGUGGUGGCAGGUGCCUGUAAUCCCAGCUACUCAGGAGGCUGAGGCAGGAGAAUCGCUUGAACCUGGGAGGUGGAGGUUGCAGUGAGCCGAGAUCGCGCCAUUGCACUCCAGCCUGGGCGACAGAGCAAGACUCUGUGUCAAAAACAAAAAAAGUAUAUAUAUAUAUAUAUUUUAUUAUUUAUUUAUUUAUUUGAGAAGGAGUGUUGCUCUGUCACCCAGGCUGGAGUGCAGUGGCGCGAUCUCGGCUCACUGGAACCUCCGCCUCCUGGUUCACGCCAUUCUCCUGCCUCA
ensembl:misc_RNA RN7SL811P RNA, 7SL, cytoplasmic 811, pseudogene